rnacentral:rRNA from 1 species
CCUACGGGAGGCAGCAGUGGGGAAUAUUGCACAAUGGGGGAAACCCUGAUGCAGCGACGCCGCGUGAGUGAAGAAGUAUUUCGGUAUGUAAAGCUCUAUCAGCAGGGAAGAAGAAAGAGGGUACUUGACUAAGAAGCCCCGGCUAAAUAAGUGCCAGCAGCCGCGGUAAUACGUAGGGGGCAAGCGUUAUCCGGAUUUACUGGGUGUAAAGGGAGCGUAGACGGCUGUGCAAGUCUGAAGUGAAAGCCUAGGGCUCAACCCUGGGAAUGCUUUGGAACCUGUGGAGCUAGAGUGUGGGAGAGGCAAGUGGAAUUCGUAGUGUAGCGGUGAAAUGCGUAGAUAUUAGGAGGAACACCAGUGGCGAAGGCGGCUUGCUGGACAGUAACUGACGUUGAGGCUCGAAAGCGUGGGGAGCAAACAGGAUUAGAUACCCGUGUAGUC